UGGUGAACAGCUUGAAGCAACACCCAAAUUACAAAUCAAGCACAAGUGGCAGCAGACAAUAUGGAUACUACGGAGAAGAUACUAUGGAGAAGAGAAUGAGGCUGCCGCGCUGAUUUUCUGGCAUGAUCCUGGUGAGAGAAUCAUGUAAGACUUCCCUGAGACCUGAUUAUUGGACCUUGGGCAAAUCGCUAUUAUCUACAUUUCACAGGAGAAUUGGUUCAGGUUGUGCCUUUAUGAAGCAACUCUUCUCAAACCAUACUGUAUUGGAUCCAAAUCUGUAAAUAACAAC